GGUCUGAGAGGAUGAUCCGCCACACUGGGACUGAGACACGGCCCAGACUCCUACGGGAGGCAGCAGUGGGGAAUUUUGGACAAUGGGCGCAAGCCUGAUCCAGCCAUGCCGCGUGUCUGAAGAAGGCCUUCGGGUUGUAAAGGACUUUUGUCCGGGAGCAAAUCCCAGUGGUUAAUACCUACUGGGGCUGAGAGUACCGGCAGAAUAAGCACCGGCUAACUACGUGCCAGCAGCCGCGGUAAUACGUAGGGUGCAAGCGUUAAUCGGAAUUACUGGGCGUAAAGCGUGCGCAGGCGGUUGUGCAAGUCUGAUGUGAAAGCCCCGGGCUUAACCUGGGAACGGCAUUGGAGACUG
rnacentral:rRNA from 1 species